AAUGUCUUCCCAACACCCAUUAUGUGCCAAGCAUCAUGCUUAAAACGUCACAGCUAUUUCCUUAACCCAAGCCUCACAGCCACCCUUUGAGGACACAGACUGAGGUUACUAGCCCCAUUUCACAGCUGCGGAACUGAGGCUUUGUACAACUAAAACUAUUUUCAGAUAAGACUACCGGCUAUAGGACCUGAGCUCCAGCCACCCAGAGAAAUUAUGAGCCAGCCUGAACUGGAAGAUCAUUCACUAUCAAUAUUGCUGUCGUUCAAAGACUCUUAAAAUCAUGGCAUGUUAGGGCUGCAAGGGACCUUAAGAAAUCAUCCAUCCCGACCCCGUCACUUUACAGAUUCCUCGGAGAUAAAAGGCAAGUUGCUAAAUUCAACACACAAGGCUUCUCUGUCUGCCUCCUACCCGAUCACUCCAGCCUGAGCUCUUCUGUAUACAGCCCAUCUUCCCACUCUCCCACAUGGAGGGAGAAGGGAGAAGCAGCUCCCUAAACCUAAAGUUCUCCAGAAAUAUUAGAAGAACCACUGCACAGGGGAGUCUGGCUGGCUCAGUCGGUAGAGCAUGCAACUACUCUUGAUCUUGAGCCCAAUCAUGAGAGGGAAGAAAUUCUGACAAGUUCCAACAGAGGAGCAUCCUACAAAACAUCUAGCCAGCAGUCCUCAAAACUGGCGAGGUCAUCACAAACAACGAAUGUCUGAAAAGCUGUCAUAGCCAAGAAGAACCCAAGGAGACAAAACAACUAAAUGUGAUGUCAUAUCCUGAAUGGGACCCUGGAACAGAAAAAGGACAUCAGGUUUCUCUAGUUAAGGUCCAACGUUGGGAAACACUGAUGUAGCGAUAAAAAGCAUACAUGGGCUGUGACUACAGAGCAUUUGCGUAGUGACUUACGAUCAUUCCCGGCUCAGUCACCUUUCAGGAAGUAUCCGUUGUCAUUAUUAUUUCCUCCCUCUCCCUCCUUAUAACUAAAACAUGAACUUUGAGAAUACAUGUACAAUUAGAGACAUGUACAAGAACACAUUCGUCACAGUUUCAUUCAUAAUAGCCAAAGCUGGAAGUGGCCCAAACAGAAUGGAUAGGCUGUGGUGGAUUCAUAGAAUGGGAUGGCUCCCUGCAAUAAAAAGAACAAACUGCUGCUACAUAGCAAUUAACAACUUGGAUGAAUCUUACAGACAUAAUAUUGAGUGAAAGAAGCCAAACACAAACGACCACAUACUCUAUACUGUCAUUUACAUGAAGUUCAAGAACAGGCAAAACCAAUCCGAUAAUAGAAGGCUGCGGUUACGUUUGGCAGGAGCUGCCCACAGAAAGGGGGCACAAGGGAGCCUUGUUGCGCACGAGCAAGGUUAUCUUGAUCUGGCUGGUGGGAACAUGGGUAGGUGCACGUGAAAACGUUAACUGAGCUCUUCGCUAUGGAUCUCUGUGCUUUACUGUAUAUAUAUUAUACCACAACUUAAAAAGUUAAGAAUUUAAAUGCAACUAGCUAAAUAAAGAAGCACAUUUGGGAAUAGGAGUAUUUCUCGUGUAGUAUCUCAUUUUCAGCCACUGAUGGCUUCAGUGAAUGGAAAUGCUGGACCCUUUCUAUUCUAAGUGGUUCGUUCAUUCAUUCACUACACAUCUCCUGAUGAUGUCCCAGCUGCUGGGCACCACGCUAAGUGCCCAGAACACAUGAACGAACCUGACAACACGAUCCCCAUCCUUAAGGGCAUCCCUGAAAUGGGCAGUCAGCCAUGUAACCUAUUACCCUGGUGGCAGCUCCUCUUGAUGUGGCCCUGUGGGAGUUCAAAGAUUUCCACAGGAGAAACCUUAGACCCCAAUUUGAAUCUAGUAACUAAAACCUCAUGCGCGGUCAUCCAUUUCUCCCGAGGAGCAACGUGGGUGAUCGCUCUCAGAUCAUAGUGUUUAAUUGCAAUUGACAUUUCUAGGUCAUCAGUUGUGAUGGCAAGUAUCCUCCUGGAAGACUCCUCAUUUGUGACAACAGCAGAGGAAAAGAAGCUAAUUUUAGAGAACACAGCCCAGCUCCCACCCUGUGGAGGAACAUCCAACAGAAGACUCUUUGUUCUCUCAGCCGUGGAGUGGUGUGGGAAUCGCACAACAACUCCAGCAACUGCCUCCCACCCUCAUCACGG